CCGAGUCGAACGAACCCAACCCGAUCCAAACCCAAACGAGAAAACACGAACCCUUCAAACGCAAGAACUUGGUUACGCUAAAACCCUAAACCCUUACGCCGUAAAGCCUUAACUACAGUUCUUACAAUUCUCUGUUUCAAUCCUCUAAAAAUUUAGUAAUGGCUUCUUCUUGCAAUAGACUAAUCCAAAGAUCAUCUUUGUCGUUCAUACGAUCCGCCAUCCGGUCCAGCGCCCCAAAAUCUCAAUCCACCAGAUCCGCUACCUCAGUCCUGUCCCCUCCCCACACGAACCCUUCUCCCUCCCCCAUUCGCCGGGUUUUUCUUUCCAGAUCUCCGUCGGAACUGGGAUGCGUGCAGUCGCUGUUGCCACUACACAGCGUGGUGGCGUCGGCAAGGAUGACGUCAUGUCUGAGCACGACUUCGAAGAGCUGUCGAUCUCUUUCACAGGGUACACUCUGCUGCACCUCUCCCGGCCUCUAGUACUUGCUUUUUCUCUUUUUGACUGCACAUAAUAAAUAGAUUGGGAUUUGCAAGACCUGUCAAUUAUGCCCUCAUCAUCAUUAUCAAAGUUAGGUUUGUCAGUGCCAAGGUGACUCAUUGGUGGACAUCACCACGAGGAGGGAUUAUCUUUGGCUGAUUGGAGAGGCAGCAUAUUUUGUAGCUUUUCAUUAGAAGAGGCAUCCUUAUUUUAUGAAUACUGUUUGACCCUUAAACUGAUUCUCCUUUGUAUUUCAAGUGAAGAUUUUAUUUCAGAGAAAUAAGAAUUUAUGCUGCAUUGUUUGUACAA